GUCUUCGUGGCUCAGUCAGUAGAGCGUUGAUAUCAUAGUCCAAAGGUCGAGAGCUCGAGCCUCUCUGAGGACA
rnacentral:tRNA from 1 species